CAAUAGCGUAUAUUAAAGUUGUUGCGGUUAAAAAGCUCGUAGUUGGAUUUCUGUUGGGAACGACCGGUCCGCCCAUUGGGUGUGUAUCUGGCUUGUUCUCGGCAUCUUCUUGGUGAACGUUGCUGCACUUGACUGUGUGGAGCGCUACCCAGGACUUUUACUUUGAGGAAAUUAGAGUGUUUCAAGCAGGCAUAUGCCUUGAAUACAUUAGCAUGGAAUAAUAAGAUAGGACCUCGGUUCUAUUUUGUUGGUUUCUAGAGCUGAGGUAAUGAUUAAUAGGGAUAGUUGGGGGCAUUCGUAUUUAACUGUCAGAGGUGAAAUUCUUGGAUUUGUUAAAGACUGACUACUGCGAAAGCAUUUGCCAAGGAUGUUUUCAUUGA
rnacentral:rRNA from 1 species